UUCCUUCCCUCCCUCCCUCCCUCCCUCCCUCCCUCCCUCCCUCCCUCCCUCCCUCCCUCCCUCCUCCACCUCCUCCUAUCCUUUACCUUUCCCCCCAGUCCCAGGGAAAUCUUAGUGGGGUGAAAGGGAACAAGGCAGGGAAGGACUUUGCGGUGGGAUGGAGCUGGGAGGGUCAGGCUGGGGAAAUCACCACGCUGGGAAACUGGGGGUAUCACACAUGGCUGCUCCUUGAAUGUUCUGUGAGUGAGCAGCCCUGCUGUUCGGCCCAGAACCUGCUGGUCUGGGGAUUCUCAUCAGCGACAGACCUGCCCCACACUCUCCUGGUUCUGGUUGGACGAGACCACUGCUUGACUUGCCAUCACGUGCUUGCAGAGUCCCAGGGAGCAGCAGCGACCCCAGCAGAAGCUGGAGGAGAGAAGGGGGACGUCUCCUCCUCUUCACACAGCCCCAGCCAGGUAAAGGUUGGGAACAUUGACGAGCCCUCAUCCAGUGGCUGAUGGAAGCAGAGACAGACAUCCACAGAUAUACACUGAGCUGAAAUCUGGAAUUUAGUUGAAGAGAGGGAAUGAAGAGCGAAGGGGUCUGUACCAGAUUGGAGAAUCCCUCAGAAACAGUUGAACUGAACAAGGGGGAGCACAUCGACCCCAGAUGCUGUCGGGGAGGCCAGUACAAGACUGAUCCAGACCCCUGAACAUGGAUGUCAAUAAGGAGGCCUCUGCACUCCAGGGAGCCUCUGGUGGUGGAUUAGUAUUUUUCCCUGGUGCAAGAAGGGACUUUGAGAGCCCAUCCCACGUGAAGGGUUACACUCUGGCCCUGGACACAUGGGGAAGGGCCCAGGACCAGCACAGGAAGAUUUGGUGGACUUUGCAGAGCCCCCGUUGAGGGCCCUACCCUGCCUG
rnacentral:lncRNA from 1 species